rnacentral:lncRNA from 1 species
GAAGAAAAACUGGUCGCAUACAUUUGCUUCAAAGCCGAGCAAAAAUCUCAACUUCCAUGGGUGGUGGACAUCUGUUGUAGUAAUUACAUGACUGGAGAUCGAGAGUCUUUCACCAAGAUGGAUGACACAUAUAGGUCCUAAGUGAAGAGUGGAGAUGGUAAAAAGUGGGAAGUUGAAGGAAAAGGUACAAUCAUCGUACAUGAAAAGGGUGAUAACAAAACUAUAAUUGAAGAAGUUUUGUACGUUCCUAAAUUAGUACAAAAUCUUUUGAGUGUUGGACAACUAAUGCUUAAAAUUACAAGCUACUGUAUGAUAACGGCCAAUGUGAGAUUAUCAACAAAUCCAACAACUCGAAGGUGGCGAAAAUUCCGAUGACUUCCAACAGGAUGUUUCCUCUCACAAUGAUGAAGAAUGAAGAAUCAGCAAUGAAGAGCCAAAGCAUGGAUAAAUCUUUCCUAUAGCAUCUCCGCUAUGGACACCUGAACGACAAAGGCCUCAAACCGUUGAAGCAUAAAAAUAUGGUGUUUGGUCUUUCCCAAAUCAAUAGAGAAGACAAGGUCUGUGAAUGAUGCAUAUAUGGCAAAAUACAUCGCUUGCCAUUUCCAAAAACUACUUGGAGAGCAAAAGCACCACUAGAGUUGGUACAUGCUGAUAUUUGCGGACCAACUAGAACAACAACCAUAGAUGGUAAGAGAUACUUUCUACUAUUGUGGAUGAUUAUACUAGAAUGAUGUGGGUACUCUUUCUUGAGCAAAAGUCAGAAGCUUUCUCCAAGUUCCUUCAAUUCACAGUAACAGAUGAGAAGGAAAGCAGGCAUCAAAUCAAGACACUCCGAAUAAAUCAUGGUGGAGAGUUCAUCUACAAACCAUUUAUGGAGUACUGUCACACCAACAGGAUCAAGAGGCAGUUGACAGUGCGAUACACACCACAAAAAAAUAGCGUAGCAGAACGAAAGAACAGUACAAUUAUGGAGAUGUCAAGAAACAUGAUGACUGCUAAGAAAAUUCCCAAUCAACAAUGGGCAGAAGCUGUCAAUACAACAAUCUACAUCCUCAACAGAUUGCCAACCAAAGUAGUGAAGAACAAAAUAACUUUUCAAGCAUGGCACCACAAAAGGCCGCAAGUGAAUCACCUCAAAGUAUUUGGUUGCAUAGCAUAUGCACACAUCUCUAUCCCGACUCGUGACAAGUUCGACCAGAAGAUAGAUAAGCUCAUCUUCAUUGAAUACAGUGACGAAACCAAAGGCUAUAGACUCUACAAUCCGUUAAAGAACGAGGUGGUGAUUUCACGAGACCUUAUCUUCGACGAAAUGGCCGAGUGGAACCAGGAAACUCAGGAUACUCAACCUCCAUAAAAAAUGAGAUCAUGGAGAAUCCAACAACUACACCAAGAACACCAAAUGAGGCGGAUCAAAAUCUAACCAACGGAAGAAGUCCAACAACGAGUCCAAUGAGAAACAACUUUAGAGAUGUCGUGAUAGAUUUAUACACACCUCCAUUAAAGCUCAGAUCCUUGAGAGAAAUUUAUGAAUCAAGUCACAUAGCAUAUUUUUCUUGUGAAACCUAUACAUUUGAAAAAGCAGCAAAAGACAAAGUCUGGACAGAAGUAAUGGACACGGAGAUCUCAAUGAUCAAGAAGGACAAGACUUGGGAGCUCAUGGGCUAACCAAAAGACAAGCCAGUCAUAGGUCUAAAUGGAUCUACAAGAUCAAAUUUAACGAAGACGGUUCCAUCUAGAAGCAAAAGGUGAGAUUGGUGGCAAAAGGCUAUCCACAACAGUCUGACAUUGAUUUUCAUGAAACCUACGCACCAGUAGCGCGGAUGGAGACAAUCAGAACAGUCAUAGCACUAGUAGCUCAAAUGGAGUUACCAAUAUUCCAACUAGAUGUGAAAUUUGCUUUCCUAAAUGGAACACUAGAAGAAGAAGUCUAUGUGGAACAAGCACAAAGAUACGAGAAGAAAGGAGAAGAGACAAAGUCUAUCGACUCAAAAAGGCGCUCUAUGGACUCAAACAAGCACCAUGAGCGUGGAACAGCAGAAUUGUUUGAUACUUUGAAGAAAACGGAUUCCAAAGAAGUCCAAGUGAAACAUCUCUCUACAUCAAUAAGGGAGAAAACAAAAAUUUUCUUAUUUUGUGCUUAUAUGUUGAUGACUUAAUCUAUACAGGCACAAUCCACAAAUGAUUGAAGAAUUCAAAAGGGCAAUGAUGUCAGAGUUCGAGAUGACAGAUUUGGGACUCAUGAAGUAGUUCCUGGGAAUUCAAGUGAAGCAGAAACCUGGAGAAAUAUUCAUCUCUCAAGAGAAGUAUAC